rnacentral:rRNA from 1 species
CACUCCUACGGGAGGCAGCAGUGGGGAAUUUUGGACAAUGGGCGAAAGCCUGAUCCAGCAAUGCCGCGUGCAGGAUGAAGGCCUUCGGGUUGUAAACUGCUUUUGUACGGAACGAAAAAGCUCCUUCUAAUACAGGGGGCCCAUGACGGUACCGUAAGAAUAAGCACCGGCUAACUACGUGCCAGCAGCCGCGGUAAUACGUAGGGUGCGAGCGUUAAUCGGAAUUACUGGGCGUAAAGCGUGCGCAGGCGGUUAUGUAAGACAGAUGUGAAAUCCCCGGGCUCAACCUGGGAACUGCAUUUGUGACUGCAUGGCUAGAGUACGGUAGAGGGGGAUGGAAUUCCGCGUGUAGCAGUGAAAUGCGUAGAUAUGCGGAGGAACACCGAUGGCGAAGGCAAUCCCCUGGACCUGUACUGACGCUCAUGCACGAAAGCGUGGGGAGCAAACAGGAUUAGAAACCCGUGUAGUCCC